AUGCGCCGCUUAAAAGGGAGGAGUCGAGCUGGUUGGAUGUCCAUAGAGAGGAGCACUCCUGAAGGUAUCAACAUGGAGGAACAUGCUUCGAGGUUUCAGCCUUUGCCCCUACCCAGAUUUACGGGUGACUUUGACCGGGCUACCGUCGGAAUUCCAGUUGUAAUGCGAAAGAGGAAGCCUCCGGAGGUGAGGAACGCGCUCCGCGAAAGAAGAGUCGCGACCAAACAAAAGGACGCACGCUACCAUGCGGAGGUGGCCUUGCGUAAAUACAACAGAGACAACAACACCAAGUUUGAGCUGGUGGAGGUAAAAGUGAUAUCUAUAUUUUACGAGUUUGGAGGGGCCGGCGCCCAUUAUAACUUCACAGCUAAGCAGCCUGAGAACCAACAUUCUGCUGAUGCUGACAGUACCAAGCUAUUCUUCUCUGAAGUCCACCUCAAUUUUCGCUUUUCGGAGUGA
rnacentral:rRNA from 1 species